rnacentral:lncRNA from 1 species
UUCAUUACGCUAUAAAAAGCCUAUCUAGCUUCGUCAUUCUGAUUACUAGCAAUAGGUUGAGAGUCCACCGGUGCUAUCCCUUGUGUGGGAGCAGGCGCUACACUCUCAAGAUCAUCAGCUACAGCUCGGUUGGGAUCGGGAUCCAUUACUAUAAACAAACACAUUUUUAACUGUCAUAAAUCACCACACUAUCAAAUAGACACAUAAUGGCAAGUAUAGCUAGACCCGAACGUAUUACGGUAGUCCUAGAAUUGACUAAACCGUAGCUCUGAUACCAAUAAAAUUGUAACGCCCCGUACCCGAGACCGUUGCCGGAGUCGAACACGAGGUGUUAACGGACUUAAUUCAUUUAUUUACACAGUUCAUUUUAAAAUUUUCAGAGAAGCUGGCUAACUGCAUCACAUCACCUCAAAAAUCAUAUCUCGAGUUCCAAAAUCGAAAACUGAUUCCAUAAAUUUUUCCUGAAACUACACUCAUAUAUCCAUCUAAACAUUGUUUUCUAGAAUUUUUGGUCGUGCCAAUUGGUACAGUUUAUUAGUUAAAGUCUCCCUUGUUUCAGGGUUCGACUCCUCUAACCUUCAUGCAUUACGACUUAGAUAUCUCCCUGUACAGGGCUUCAAUACAUAUGCCGUUUGUUUCUAAUGAAACUAGACUCAAAAAGGAAUCUGUACAUAUAAAGCAUGACUUCUAAUUAUUUCUGGUUAAUUUAUGGUAAAUUUCCAAAUUCAGAACAGGGGAUCCAGUAACCGUUCUGGCCCUGUUUCACAAAAACUUAAACAUCUCAUAAAAUACGGCUCAUAUGGUCAUUUUGCUUCUUCCAUAUGCAAAUAGACUCAUCAAGGUUCAGUUACAUAAUUUAUUCAUUAUUUAAUUACAUUCCUACUAUUUUUAGUGAAUUUUCAAACUCACAUCACUGCUGCUGUCAGCAUCUAUUUUAAGGUAAAUUUCACCUAUUUCAUAGUUUCCAUGAUUCAACUAGCCAUUUGACAUACAUAGCACCAAAUAUGAUCGUGAUUAACCAUUCCAAUGGCUAAUCAUUGCCAAGCAUUUCCACACCUCUCAAUAACCAUAUAUAUACAAAAUGAUUUUAAUACUAUGCUCAAAAUAUUUAAGCCAUUUUCGCAUGGCUAUCCGAAUAUAUACACAUUACCAAAGGUACUUGAUUAACAACAAAGUUUAGUCCUAUACAUGCCAUUAUCAACGUUUAACUAAAAGAGGACCAAAAGGGCUUAGAUAGUGUGGACGACUUCGACUUCGACAAUCCCGAGUCUGAUAGCUGACGAACAAAAAUCUAUAAAACAAAGAAUUAAAGAAACGGAAUAAGCAUUUAAUGCUUAGUAAGUUUUGAGUAACGAAAUUAUUUACGACUAAAGUAUAGCGUUCAUAUGACUAAAUGAAUAAUUUCAUAUAUGCACAUUCUCAAAAUCAUAAUUUCUUCACGCUUCAACCAAUAUAUUCAUACACAGGGUAUCAAACCUAACUAGAGGUCGGAAGCUCGUUAAUCAAUUGAGCGAGUACUAUUUGAAAGGAAUCAACCUUUCCGAAGCAUAUACGAAACAUACCUUAUCGUUUGUAUUUUAUGAGCAUAUUAAUUGAAAUUAUUACAGCAAGAUCGCUCGCUUCCAAACCCAAGUAUCUUCGGGAUUUAGCCGGAUAUAGUAACUCGCACAAAUGCCUUCGGGUCUUAGCCCGGAUAUAAUCACUAGCAUGAAUGCCUUCGGGACUUAGCCCGGAUAUAGUCACUAGCACAAAUGCCUUCGGGACUUAGCCCGGAUAUAGUAACUUGCACAAAUGCCUUCGGGACUUAGCCUGGAUAUCAUCCGAAUAAUCAAGCACAUAUACCAAUAAAUCAUGACACAUCCAUAUUUCAUUAUCAUGACUAGAAUUCAAACACAAGACGCUUAUCAACCAUUAUCAUUUUCGGCUCAAUAGCCACAUACAAAGAGCAUGAUUUUGAUUUGCUUUAUAACAUGAUCUCUAUACACAUUCGGCUACCCGUCAUAGGUAUAAACUAAUCACCUCAAUAUACAAUUCAAGUAGAAUCAUUAUAUCACCGUUUAUUUGUUAUGCUUAUAUGUCAUGACUUAAUCAAAUCAUAAACUAAGUUUCAUUACUCGAAAACAUACCUCGGAUGUUGUCGAACGAUUUCAACGGCUAUUCGACCACUUUUUCCUUUCCCUUAUCCAACUUUGAUCCUCUAAGCUCUUGAGCUAAAUCAAACAAUUUACUUCCCAAUCAAACACAAUCAUACGACAUCCAUAUACAUUUUAGAACCAUUCUUAACAUACUUACUACUCAUUUACAAAACAAAAUACUCAUAUCACAUUUGUAGAACUACAAGCCGAAUAUACCUAUACUUACCUUACUUAAACAUCAACCCUCAAUUUCUUUGACAUAGCACAUUCCCGAAAAUGAUAAGGCAAUAUAACAGCCUUUAAUCCAACUUAUAAUUCAUACAUAUCACAUUCCAAGCAUUCGCUCUAUUCUAUCACUUAACAUACAAACAUUACUCAAUAACUUUCUAGUUCAAAUUCGGAAAUUACACCAAUUCACUAGAUGAUUUAUUAUUAUUGUUCAUUUAUUCAAACUACUUACAAAUACCUUAAAAUAUCUCAAUCAACAACCAUUUUCUACCCGUCACGUUUACUCUACUUGAACCGAAUGCACAUAAAUUCCUUGGCCGAAACUCACUAAACACAAAUCAGCCAUAAUCUUGUAUUUAACUUGAGCAUAACCUUAUUUACCUUCCAAAAAUCAUAAAAAUAUCAGACUCUUAAUAUUUAUGUGCAAAGCCGAAUCUUAAAAUGAUCCAACCUCCAACUCAUUCAUUUCAAUCACUCACUUGGCAUUUGUUCAAUUCAUUAGACAAAUCUAUGUUUAGCCAUUGUACUCAUGAACAUUAGAAUUUAUCAUUUGACUAACUAAAACCCUUCUCUUCAACAAUUCUCCAUAAAACAUAAAAACCAUAACCUAAUCUCAUCCUUUAAUAACUAAAACCGAAUGCUCAAACCAUCACCAAGAUUUUCAUAAUUUUGACAUGGGUUAUGUAAGAAACUACCUAAUUAACUAGAAACAAGCUUAAAGUUUAAAGAAAAUCUAACACAAAUGACUAACCUCCCUUAAGCUCCAAAUGACCGAACCUCCUCUUCUUUCUUCCUUCAAUUCACGGCAAUGGAGGAGCAUGGAUGAAACAACUUUGUUUUCAUCACCCCUCCCUUUUCAUUACUUUAUUACCAACCUUUUAUUUUAUUAUUUUUAACUUAACACAUUAACACAAAAUGUUUAUAAUAUGUUUAACCCAUUGCAUGGCCGGCCACUACCUAAAGUUUUGGGUAAUUUGACAUGCAAGGACAAGCAUUUUCUAACAUGCAUCAAUAGGCCACUUUAACAUUUGCCUAGCACAUUUCUAAAUUUUCUCACACAAGUCCUAUUUAAUAAAAUUCACUUACAAUUAACAAAAUUCAAACAUGAAAUUUUCACACAUGCAUAUAUACAUAUAAUAAGCAUCAAAUAUGACGAUUAAUUAUUUUUAUGACUCGGUUUUGUGGUCCCGAAACCACUUUCUGACUAGCGUCACAUUUGGGCUGUCACACACUACAUUAUUGGGUGAACUUGUGAAGAACUAAGAAAACCAUCAAUUUUCUUAUUCAAGAGUUCUACCUGAUUAGAGAGCAUGGUGACCUAAUCGACGUUAUAAACACUGGCUAUUUUCGUUGGCUUUGUCCUCAUGACUUGCCACUGAUAGUUAUUCAAUGACAUCUCCUCUAUAAAUUCAUAGGCAUCUUCAGGUGUUUUAUUAUUGAUGGUUCUGCCAGAAGCUGGGUCAACCAUUUGUCGAGUCGAAGAAUUCAGGCCAUUAUGAAAAGUUUGAACCUGUAGCCAGAGUGGUAACCCAUGGUGAGGGCAUCUUCGCAAAAGGUCCUUAUAUCUCUCCCAUGCAUCGUAGAGUGUUUCUAAAUCCAUCUGCACAAAAGAAGAGAUAUCAUUACGUAAUUUAGUUGUUUUAGCCGGCAGAAAAUAUUUUAAUAAGAACUUUUCGGUCAUUUGUUCUCAAAUAGUGAUUGACCCCCACGGUAACGAAUUCAACCAAUGUUUAGCUUUAUUUCUCAAUGAAAAAGGGAAUAACUAAAGGCGAAUGGCAUCAUUAGAAAUGCCAUUAAUUUUAAAUGUGUCACAUAGUUCUAAAAAGUUUGCUAAGUGAGCGUUGGGAUCUUCCUCCUACAAACCAUCAAAUUGAACAAAUUGUUGUAUCAUUUGAAUUGUGUUAGGUUUCAGUUCAAAAUUAUUUGCAGCUACAGUAUGUCUAACUAUGCUUGAUUCAGUUCCUAUUAAAGAAGGUUUAGCAUAAUCAUACAUAGUGUGCGGAGCAGGAUUUUGAUUAACAGCAAUCGCAGGAGGUAGCAGAUUUUCUUGGUUUUCAGCCAUCUCCUCGGUGGUGGUUGAAGUAUCUUCCUCUUGCUCUUCUGUGUAACGUAAGCUUCGCCUUAUUUCUCUUCGGUUUUUGUAAACUGUGCAAUCAAUCUCACUAUGAAUAGUAAUGGUCAUGACGGGUUUCUCCUGGUCAUAAACUAGAAAAACUUGUUAGAAGAAAAUAAAUGAAGAGUUAGAAAAUAAAAUAAAAAUUUAAAUUGCAAUAAAAGUAAAAUGGCUAAAGUAAUAAAAAUCGAGUGUUCCUAAUAUCUUAGCUCUCUGGCAACGGCGCCAAAAACUUGAUACGUGAUAUUCGUGACAGGUUUUAAAUAUUUAUAAUGAAUCGUUCUUGAAACUAACUAUUAUCACGAUGAAGGCAAGUGUACCUAUCGAACAGUAGUAUAGCUUUAGCAAGACCAGAUUAUCAAACCCAAAAGAACUAAAAGUACUAGUAUCAACUUUCUUUUUAUUAUCUAGCCUAAAAAAAUAAAAGGGUUUUGUUUAUCUAACUAAUUAAUAAAACUAAGAAAUCAUAGAAAAGAAAUUUGGGGAAAAUAAUUUUUUGAAAAACUCAAUUGAUUGAGACAAUACCUAAGGAAAAAUCCACCUAAACUUCACUUGUUAUUUGACUCUGAAUCGGACGAUUUAUUCAUUCAACUUGUUCCGUAGAGAUCCCUAAGUUAUAUUAUUAUCUCUCUCGAGACUAACAACGUCUAACCCUAGAUUGAAUAAUUGAAAUCUCUUUCUAAUUAACGCCCUAGGGUUGCAUUAACUCGAUCUAUGGAUCCCCUUAUUAGGUUUCACCCUAAUUCGGUAAAAUCUUGUCACCCUAUCUCUAGCUCCGCUUAAUUAUGACAAAUUUAAUCUUAGAUAGGGUCUAUUCCUCAUCUAAAUAAGAGCUUUAACUUGAAUCAAUAUCCUAGAAUAUCAAAACAAGAAUUAAGAACACAUAAUUAAGAACAAGUCAAAUAUUUAUUAUACAAUUCAGAUAAUAAUAACAAGAUCCGUCUUAGGUUUCAUUCCCCUUAGGUAUUUAGGGGUUUUAGUUCAUACUAAUGAAAGAAAACAUCUCAAAAGAAUAAAAAUAACAAAACAUAAGAAAACCCAAAACUCAUGAGGGAAUUUGAAGGGAGAUCUUCAGUCUUGAUGGUGAAUCUGGCUUCUAAGAUGGUUCGAUCGGCUUUUCUUGAGCAAUACCUUGCUUCCUCCCGUGCGUCCCCCCUCUUCUCCUCUUCUAGGGUGUAUUUAUAGGCUUUGGAAUGCCUAAGAGCCCUCAAAAGUGGCCUUUUCCGAAUAGGGCUCUACUUGGGCUUGAUAGGGACACGCCCUUGUGCGAUUACUUUAGGCCGUGGUCAAGCCUAUUAAAUAGGCAUGGGCGUGUGGUCUACCUAUGUGGGUCGUGCUUCGAUUAUGCCAAAUUGACACGGCCGUGUGGUCUGCCCGUGUGAGGAAGUCCAGGCCGUGUUGAUUUCGUAUGUUGGCCCAUUUUCUCCAUUUUUGGCCCGUUUCUCAUUCCUUUCACUCUCCUAUGUUCACCUAAGUAUAAAACAUGAAAUUAAGGAAUUAGGAGCAUCGAAUUCACCAAAUCUAAGGAAAAAUCAUCCAUAAAAUACGCUAAGCAUGGGAUAUAAAUAUGUAUAAAUUACGGUUUAUCAAUCACACUCAGGUUUUUCAUUCUUUGUAUUAUCAACACUGGAAACAGACGUAGCUGGAGCUUUAAAGCUUGAUUGCUAUCUAGCACGAUCUCUAUUUGAAUAUUCGACACUAGCCAUUGAAUGGCUAUUAUCAUCUCUGAAUUUCUUUGAUCCAGAUUGAAAUGACUUGUCCGAUGAUCUCUUUUGUACCUCUCUAGCUUCAAAAUCAGCUUUUCUUUUCUCUUUCCCGAGAUCGUCAGCUUUACAUGCUCGUUCAACAAGCACAACAAAUUCUUUGAUUUCUAGAAUCCCAACUAACAGACAAAUAUCUUCGUUUAAGCCAUCCCCGAAUCUUUUGCACAUUAUUGCUUCCGUAGAUACACAUUUAUGAGCAUACUAACUUAAUCUUAUGAAUUCCCGUUCGUAUUCUAUGACAAACAUACAGUCUUGUUUAAGCUGAAGAAACUCUUUACGUUUCUAAUCGAUGAAUCUCUAACUGAUAUAUUUCUUCCAGAAUUCAGCUUGAAAGUGUAACAUCCUAAUUUUGGGCUUAGUCGUAACAGUGGUUUCAGGACCACAAAUUCGACGAGGAAAAUUUUAUUUUUAUUAUAUGGUUUACGAUUUCACGGAAUGAUUUCGUGAAAAUUUCAUUCAAAAAUUUCGACAUUUGGGCACUCAAUUUCGUCAAAAGGACUAAAUUGUAAAAAGUGCAAAAGUUGAGUUUUACAUGUUAGAAGUGUUUAAUUGUUAUGAGUUUUUAAAUAAAAGGUCCUUAAAUGGUAAUUAGACCAUUUUGAUGUUUUUGGACAAAAAUUGGACAUGGAUGGAAUUUUUUUGAAAGUUUAGUAGUAAGGGCAUUUUGGUCAUUUGUAUAUUAAAUGAAAUAAAAUGGGAAAAAUAACACAAAAUGGUCAUCUUCUCCAUAUGGAGGCCGAAAUUAGCAUGGGGGAAGCCAUGGCUAGGGUUUUCAAGCUUUCCAAGCUCAAUAGUAAGUCCAUUAUAGCCUCGUUUUUCAAGUUCUUUACGUUUUUGGAAUCCCGGUAACUUGAUUAAGCUUAUGCUAGCAAUAAUUCAACCUAGGGUUCAUAUUUGGAAAAAUACCCAUACGUGAAAUUUGUGUAUUUUGGUGUUUUAUGAUAGAAUAUAAGGUUUUAAAUUAUGUUAGACAACUUGUGCUACUCAGUUUUAAGUGAAAACGAGUAAAAAGGCUUAAUCGGUAAAAAUACCUAAUAGUCAUAAAUACAUGUUAGAGUGAGAAUUUGAUGUUGUAAUAGAAGGGAAAAAUGAUCAGCAUGUCAUAAAACAUAAGUAUAAGGGAUGAAGUUUAAUUCCCGAGCCUAGGGGCAAAAGUGUAAUUAUGCAAAAGUUUAGGGGUAAACUGGUAAUUUUGCCCAAGUUCGUAUUAAAGGCUGUUUUGAUGAAUGUAUGUAUUAAAUAAAUUAAUUUGGUAUUAUAGAUCAAGAGAAACGAGAUUUAAGUCGUGAUUGAGGGAAAAACAAAGUUUACAAGGAAUAGGCUCGAUUGCUAAUAUUUUGUAUCGAGGUAAGUUCGUAUGAUAAUAAUAAUGCGAUGUUAUGUUUGAAUUAUAUUUCUUACUAUUAUUGCAUAUAUUGUAUGAUUAAAUAUAUUGGAAAAGUUGAUGGAAUGGUGUUUAUGAUGUGGAAAUAUGACAUGAAAGAAUGUUACAUUCAAUGCAAGAAAAUGAUGAUACAUGACAAGUGAUAUAUGAAAUAUGUGAUUUAUGUUAUGUAAAUUCUUAAAAGCUGAUUUUGUAACACCCUGAAUUUGGGCCUAGAAGUUUUGGGCCUUGAGCAUGGGAGCGGUUGAAGGCAGCUUAUAAUAUUCUGUUGUGCAUGCAAAUUUCGUUAAUGAAGGCUUGUUUUAGUGGUUAAGUGUGUUGAGAAGUGUUGGAGAAGUCCUGGGUUUAAACCUGGACUCUAGCAAAAAAUUUGGUUUAAGGUGAAUCAAACCCUGGGUGUAGUAGGUAGGCCUUAAGAAUAUUGUUGGAGAAAUUGUGACACAAAAAACCUUAUGGCUUAGUGGCAAGUGGCGUGUGAAGCAUUUGAGGGGAGGCAUGGGUUCGAAUCCCAUGGCAAGCAAAGAGCAUUUAUUUUGCUAACAGGGGGCGGCAAGAGUUGGUGUUGAAUUUAAACUCUGAUGUUGGAGGGAUCCCACAUCGGGAAGCUAACAUAAGAGUGGAUGGGAAGCUGGCUUUAAAUAGAGAGAACCAUGAGGAGAGUAAAGGUACCUUUCUUGGCUGAUCCCUUUCGCUUUAUGGCGUGCUCGUUUGGGCUGGGCGUCGGCUAAGAGUGCUCGAAGCGUGGAUUAACUCCAGUCUCCAAUCAGGUGUGUAUUUAUCACUACUCUUGUUGUUGGAUGGCUACUUCGGGCCGCGAUGGACCGAAAGGGGCCAUGUGGGCCCAAUGGGCCUACGGGCCCAAUUGGAUAAGUUGUUUGAUUGUGUAGUAAAUAUUGGACUAGGCUAGGUGAAUCGCAUAUCUGUGGCUAGGUUUGGGCUAAAAGGGCCACACGAGUGUGUGGGCCCAUUUGGGCCGAGAAUAGGCUUUAGGCCCAUUCGUAUUGUUAUCCAUGUUUAGAAUACUUUAGUUUACCAAUUACUGAAAUGCCCUCGACUUGUAAAAUUACCAAAGUACUCUCGAUUUACAGAAUUACCAUUUUACCCUCAAUUUACAAAAUUAUCGUUUUACCCUCAAAUUUUAAAAUUACCGUUUUACCCUCGAAUGAAUGGAAAAACUGGUUAAGGAGUCGUUAUCAAUACGAUUUAGUUUAGAAUAGAUGGCUAAAAUUAGGACCAGGACAAUGGCGAAAUAGAGUCAAUCAACAUUAUCUGGCUCAAAAUAAACAUUUAACAAAAUGGGAUUCAGAUGAAAAAGAAAGAUUAAUUCAUUACGAAAAAAAAUGAUUUUCAAGCGAACUCAUUACUAACUCAAGAAUAUAAACUGAAUCAAGAACAAAAAUAUAAAAAAUCUAAUUUUAAAAAACACUAUGGAUAUGAUUUUUUAUCAUAUAAAUCUAUUAAUUAUCAAGAUAAGAGGGACCCGUAUGCUUAUGGAUCACCAUUCCAAGUAAAUAAGAGGGAAGAGAGUUCUUAUCAUUACAACAUGGAUAAACAAAAUUUUUUUA